rnacentral:rRNA from 1 species
UAGGGAAUCUUCCGCAAUGGACGCAAGUCUGACGGAGCAACGCCGCGUGAGUGAAGAAGGAUUUCGGUUCGUAAAACUCUGUUGUUAGAGAAGAACAGCGCAUAGAGUAACUGUUAUGCGUGUGACGGUAUCUAACCAGAAAGCCACGGCUAACUACGUGCCAGCAGCCGCGGUAAUACGUAGGUGGCAAGCGUUGUCCGGAUUUAUUGGGCGUAAAGCGAGCGCAGGCGGUCAAUUAAGUCUGAUGUGAAAGCCCCCGGCUCAACCGGGGAGGGUCAUUGGAAACUGGUUGACUUGAGUGCAGAAGAGGAGAGUGGAAUUCCAUGUGUAGCGGUGAAAUGCGUAGAUAUAUGGAGGAACACCAGUGGCGAAGGCGAAUCUCUGGUCUGUAACUGACGCUGAGGCUCGAAAGCGUGGGUAGCAAACAGG